CCUACGGGGGGCAGCAGUAGGGAAUAUUGCUCAAUGGGGGAAACCCUGAAGCAGCAACGCCGCGUGGGGGAUGAAGGUUUUAGGAUUGUAAACUCCUUUUGUUAGGGAAGAUUAUGACGGUAUCUAACGAAUAAGCACCGGCUAACUCCGUGCCAGCAGCCGCGGUAAUACGGAGGGUGCAAGCGUUACGCGGAAUCACUGGGCGUAAAGGGUGCGUAGGCGGGGUAAUAAGUCAGAUGUGAAAUCCUAGGGCUUAACCAUAGAACUGCAUUUGAAACUGUUAUUCUAGAGUAGGGGAGAGGUAGGCGGAAUGCUUGGUGUAGGGGUAAAAUGCGUAGAGAUCAAGAGGAAUACUCAUUGCGAAGGCGACAUGCUAGAACAUAACUGACGCUGAUGCGCGAAAGCGUGGGGAGCAAACAGGAUUAGAUACCCGUGUAGUC
rnacentral:rRNA from 1 species